rnacentral:rRNA from 1 species
GAUGAACGCUAGCGGCAGGCCUAACACAUGCAAGUCGAGGGGUAACUAGAGUGAUAGCAAUAUUACUUUGGCUUGACCGGCGCACGGGUGCGUAACACGUAUGCAACCUACCUUAUACUGGGGAAUAACUUCGAGAAAUCGGCGCUAAUACCCCAUAACAUUGCGAAGAGGCAUCUCUUUGCAAUUAAAGCUCCGGCGGUAUAAGAUGAGCAUGCGUCCAAUUAGCUAGUUGGUGAGGUAACGGCUCACCAAGGCUACGAUUGGUAGGGGUUCUGAGAGGAUGAACCCCCACACUGGUACUGAGACACGGACCAGACUCCUACGGGAGGCAGCAGUGAGGAAUAUUGCGCAAUGGACGAAAGUCUGACGCAGCCAUGCCGCGUGCAGGAUGACGGCCCUAUGGGUUGUAAACUGCUUUUGUACGGGAAUAAACCCUUCUACGUGUAGGAGGCUGAAGGUACCGUAAGAAUAAGCACCGGCUAACUCCGUGCCAGCCGCCGCAGUAAUAC